AUGCGAGCUUAAGCCGUUAGGUGUAGGCGAAGCGAAAGCGAGUCUGAAUAGGGCGCAUGAGUUAGAUGGAUCAGACCCGAAACCGAGUGAUCUAGGCAUGGCCAGGUUGAAGACAAGGUAACACUUGUUGGAGGACCGAACCCACAUCCGUUGAAAAGGAUCGGGAUGAGCUGUGCCUAGGGGUGAAAGGCCAAUCAAACUCGGAGAUAGCUGGUUCUCUGCGAAAUCUAUUUAGGUAGAGCGUCAUCCGAAUACCCCGGGGGGUAGAGCACUGGAUGGGUAAUGGGGCCCCACAGGCUUACUGAUCCUAACCAAACUCCGAAUACCCGGGAGUACUAGAUGGCAGACACACUGCGGAUGCUAACGUCCGUAGUGGAGAGGGAAACAACCCUGACCUACAGCUAAGGCCCCCAAUUCAUGGCUAAGUGGGAAAGCAGGUGGGACGACCAAAACAACCAGGAGGUUGGCUUAGAAGCAGCCAUCCUUUAAAGAUAGCGUAACAGCUCACUGGUCUAAAUAAGGGUUCCUGCGGCGAAAAUGUAACGGGGCUAAAGAUAUGCACCGAAGCUUAGGGUUGCAGUUUACUGCAGCGGUAGCGGAGCGUUCCGUAGGCGAGUGAAGGCGAAGGGUAACCGACGCUGGACGUAUCGGAAGUGCGAAUGCUGACAUGAGUAGCGACAAACAGGGUGAGAUACCCUGUCGCCGAAAGACCAAGGGUUCCUACGCAAUGCUAAUCAGCGUAGGGUGAGCCGGCCCCUAAGACGAGCCCGAAGGGGGUAGUCGAUGGGAACCACGUUAAUAUUCGUGGGCCAGAUGGAAGUGACGGAUCUCGAAGAUUGUUCCUCCUUAUCGGAUUGGAGGGGCCGUUCAGAGGUUCCUGGAAAUAGCUCCAUCAUCAGACCGUACCCUAAACCGACACAGGUGGACUGGUAGAGAAUACCAAGGCGCUUGAGAGAACGAUGUUGAAGGAACUCGGCAAAAUACCUCCGUAAGUUCGCGAGAAGGAGGCCCGGUUCCUAGGCAACUAGGGGCUGGGGGCACAAACCAGGGGGUGGCGACUGUUUACUAAAAACACAGGGCUCUGCGAAGUCGCAAGACGACGUAUAGGGUCUGACGCCUGCCCGGUGCCUGAAGGUUAAAAGGAGGGGUGAG
rnacentral:rRNA from 1 species